rnacentral:rRNA from 1 species
GAACGGGUGAGUAACACGUGGGCAAUCUGCCCUGCACUCUGGGACAAGCCCUGGAAACGGGGUCUAAUACCGGAUAUGACCGUCUUGGGCAUCCUUGACGGUGUAAAGCUCCGGCGGUGCAGGAUGAGCCCGCGGCCUAUCAGCUUGUUGGUGAGGUAGUGGCUCACCAAGGCGACGACGGGUAGCCGGCCUGAGAGGGCGACCGGCCACACUGGGACUGAGACACGGCCCAGACUCCUACGGGAGGCAGCAGUGGGGAAUAUUGCACAAUGGGCGAAAGCCUGAUGCAGCGACGCCGCGUGAGGGAUGACGGCCUUCGGGUUGUAAACCUCUUUCAGCAGGGAAGAAGCGAGAGUGACGGUACCUGCAGAAGAAGCGCCGGCUAACUACGUGCCAGCAGCCGCGGUAAUACGUAGGGCGCAAGCGUUGUCCGGAAUUAUUGGGCGUAAAGAGCUCGUAGGCGGCUUGUCACGUCGGUUGUGAAAGCCCGGGGCUUAACCCCGGGUCUGCAGUCGAUACGGGCAGGCUAGAGUUCGGUAGGGGAGAUCGGAAUUCCUGGUGUAGCGGUGAAAUGCGCAGAUAUCAGGAGGAACACCGGUG